ACUCCUACGGGAGGCAGCAGUGGGGAAUAUUGGACGAUGGGCGCAAGCCUGAUCCAGCCAUGCCGCGUGAGUGAUGAAGGCUUUCGGGUCGUAAAACUCUGUUGUUAGGGAAGAACAAGUGCUAGUUGAAUAAGCUGGCACCUUGACGGUACCUAACCAGAAAGCCACGGCUAACUACGUGCCAGCAGCCGCGGUAAU
rnacentral:rRNA from 1 species